rnacentral:rRNA from 1 species
UACGUAGGGUGCAAGCGUUGUCCGGAAUUAUUGGGCGUAAAGAGCUCGUAGGCGGUCUGUUGCGUCGGCUGUGAAAACCCGAGGCUCAACCUCGGGCCUGCAGCCGAUACGGGCAGACUAGAGUUCGGCAGGGGAGACUGGAAUUCCUGGUGUAGCGGUGAAAUGCGCAGAUAUCAGGAGGAACACCGGUGGCGAAGGCGGGGUCUCUGGGCCGAUACUG